rnacentral:rRNA from 1 species
UACGUAGGGUGCGAGCGUUGUCCGGAAUUAUUGGGCGUAAAGAGCUCGUAGGCGGCCUGUUACGUCUGCUGUGAAAGCCCGGGGCUCAACUCCGGGUCUGCAGUGGAUACGGGCAGGCUAGAGUCCGGCAGGGGAGACUGGAAUUCCUGGUGUAGCGGUGAAAUGCGCAGAUAUUAGGAGGAACAUCAGUGGCGAAGGCGGCUCACUGGCUGAAUACUGACGCUAAGGCGCGAAAGCGUGGGGAGCAAACAGG